rnacentral:rRNA from 1 species
GGAUCUCUUAAAGACUGUUCUCAGUUCGGACUGCAGUCUGCAACUCGACUGCACGAAGCUGGAAUCGCUAGUAAUCGCGGAUCAGCACGCCGCGGUGAAUACGUUCCCGGGCCUUGUACACACCGCCCGUCACACCAUGGAAGUCUGCAAUGCCCGAAGCCGGUGGCCUAACCACUUAUGUGGAAGGAGCCGUCUAAGGCAGGGCAGAUGACUGGGGUGAAGUCGUAACAAGGUAAC